ensembl:lncRNA
GUCGCUGUUCUCUCCUUGCGCUGCUGCAUUUGUUUUCCUUUUUUUGUCGUUUUUAAUACACCGAUGUUCGGCUGGAGUGAAUCGGCGGCUAGCUAGCUGCUUCAUUGUUAACUGUUAUCUGUUUCAGCGUCCUGUGCGGCGAAUAUUUUUGUUUUCGUCGCUCGUUAUUGCGCGUCCCAUUAGCUUUAGGCUAAAAAUACAAGCUAACAUCGAAGGCAAAGCUCGUGCAGCCACGCUUUGUCAUCAUCCCUCCCUCCUGCCAGGUGAGCUGAGGUGGCCAACAGCGUUGUAAGGUGUGUCAUAAUGGGAUUCUCAUAAAGAUUGCAGGAAACGUUUAAAAGAAAGAAGAAAGCCAGAGGAAUUCGUACACAGAUGUCGACAGACAGCAGUCAUGUCCAUUGAAUACACCAUUGAUAUCCAGCUGACAGAGUUGGGAUUCCCAGACAUCCUGCAGCCACAGGAGGCUUCGGAUAGGCAGACACCAUGUCACCCCACGUCGCCUGGUGACUCCCCCAGUCACUCACCUACUUCCCUUUCAACCACUCAUAAGCAAAGACAUCUGAUCAGAGAUGAGAAAGAAGCAAGUACAGCAAAACUGACCUCCAACUCCCAGCAAAACACAGUGGUUUAUGUGUCGUCACCUCUGGCAGAGACAUUACCCGAUAAACAGGUAAAUCCUGCACAGAAUCCACAAAAUGAACCAGCUGUCAACGGGACUGAACGGCCAGAGAUGACUGUAGAUGAUCCCCCAGCUGGAGCAGACAGUCCCCAGCUGAUCACUGAUGAACAUGGCGGAGAUGCUGCCACGGAGGGACUAGCAGAGGGCCAACUGGAUGUGGAUGAUGACUCGGACGACAGUGAAGUUUCAGAUCUGUAUGAGGAAGAAGAGGCUGACGAGGAAGACGAUGAGGAAGAGGACGGAAUAAGCAAUGGUAUGACCGAUUUCUCUUAAGGCAAAUGCACCCACAUAUAAGACACUUUACACAGACACUUUUAGAAACUUUGCAUUUUGUACUUUGUUUUCGUUGUUAUUUCUAUUUUAUUACUAACCUCUGUG